GGGGAUUUAGCUUAAUGGUAGAGCGCUUGCCUAGCAAGCACAAGGCCCUGGGUUCAGUCCCCA
rnacentral:tRNA from 1 species